AUUUAAGUAUUUUAAUUAAAAUGAUGAUUUGUGGUGUCAUUGAUAUAAAUUAUGUUUAUCUUAAAUA
rnacentral:tRNA from 1 species